rnacentral:lncRNA from 1 species
UCGUUGCAUGCAUACUUACAGUUCUUACUUUAUAGUUGUCUUACUACUAUAGUAGAUAUUCAUGUAUGCUUUCUGUUCCAGUUACAGUAGCGGUAGCCGUUAUUCAGUCUAGUUCCUACUUUCUUUCAGUUUAUUGCUACUGUAUUCAGUAUAUCUGCUCAUCACCUUAUACAUCUCUUUCGUUUAUUAUUGUUCCUACUAUAUUUUCACUAACCGGUGUUGUUGUAUAGCUCUUCCUGAUCCGGUGAGUACUCCUCGCCUUCUUCGGCUUGCGGUACCCACUGGGAGGGGAGACAUGUUUACAUGUUCUCACCUCCCCCACUAUUUUUCAGGUAUCGCGGGCGGUGAGGGUUGAGACUGGACGCGAGAUACGUAGCGGUCGAUAGAGCUUCCGACCCAGGUUAUUCGGUUUAGUUCUACCCUUACUAUUAUGUUGAUAUAGCUUAGAUAGUUUAUAUGGUUCAGUAUAUUUUAUUACAUUUGAAAAUAUGGGUUUUCAUGAAUGUAAUAAAUGGAUUUGUGAAUUUUGUGAGAUGGAAAGGUUUUCUACCCCUCGUGGUAGUGUUUUUAAAGAAUAAAGGUUUCUGUAUAGGAACAGCUUUCAAAAGAAUUUUCUGUAGAUUUAUGUUUAAAUAUUAAAUGCAAAUCUGUGAUGUAAAUGGUGAAUGUAUGAAUGAAUAAUUAUUUCUAUAUUCACUUAGAUGUGGUUGUAUCCUGUUUGUACCGUUGUACUUGUGCGACGCCGUGCAAAUACAGGGGAGACUCUGUCUGUGUGAACAGUGGAAUCCCUGUAUUUGUGGCGGAUCUUGCAUACUCUGGGGUCAGGUUUUCAAAAAAAAAAUUUAGACGCUUUUUCCGCUGUGUUCAAAUAAAAAGGGACCCCGGGGCGUGACAGAAACAUACAAGACAUCUAAUACAAAACGAUAAAUAAGGCAAUAGAGGAAGAAUAUCUAAGAGUAUUAGAGCAAAGUAUAUCUACAAGCUACAAUAAGGGAAAAGAACAUAAAGCUCCACUAUGUAAAAACAUAAAGUAAUACAAUAGGAGUCCCAAAAAUAAGAGCUAAACUAGGUACCUAGGUGGUCUCUAUACAUGGUACAAAAUCUCUCUCACAGAAAAAAAUACGAAAAGUAGAAAGUAACCACCUAGGAGCAAAAGCGAGCUCCGCUCUAUCUAGCUAGCCGACACCCUUGCCGCGAUCCCGUGCCUCCACCGGUGCCGAAGGCUCUGAAAGAAAAUCAUAAAACAGAGGGCGUGAGAACUAUAUAUUAAAUAAUAGUUUCCAGUGGGCAAUUACUGACUUCAAUGAAAAGCGCUACUAGGCCCAAAAGCUACAAAAAAGGGGGUCAGUAGAUAAAUAUAAGUAAGAGCGAUAAGUACAACGUGUAAAUAAACAAGAAUGCUUGCUUCCACAAGAUAUCUAUACCUAGCAUGAUUUUGCUCAAGUAAUAAAAGGCUACACUAGUAUGAAUGUACCAAAGUAUCACUAGUAUGAUGUCCACAAGCUAAAUAGUAAAGAUGUUAUUGUUUACUAUUCUAGUCAAUGUCCACAUGGCAUGAUGAAUGCUCAAAGUCAAAUCUGAAGAGACCCGCCCGAAGGCUGUAUGGCCCUGAGACCCACCCGUAAGCUGUCUGGCCGGUGCCGAGCCUAAUGGCCCCGUGGUAGUCAACAUCCCCACCCUAAGGAUGAGCCUAGCCCACGGCAAUCCACUUCGGCGCCCAAUCCCGCACGGCGAAUAUGUACCGCGAUGGCCAUCUCCGGAGUGCCAGCUUGUAGGAAGCGACCCUCACAAGCAUGUGCGAAUGAGCACAAUGGCAAGUAACCAAAAGAUCCGUCUCAAGUACCAAGUCCUCAUGUCUAACAACAUGGAAUACGUCACAUCUCUCAUAGGCCUAUCUCUAUGUCAUCAUGUCUCUAAUAUGGAAUAUAAAAAAUGUCAAUUGCCUAUCACGAAGUCUCAGAUAACAGUUUCAUAGUUUGCUAGUCCAAGUGCCCCUUUAUGAUACUUUUGGUCUCUAUGUCCAAGUAUGAUAAUUAUGUUCAUAAAUGCAUAAUUCUAAUCAUUUUCAUCGUACGAGACAAGUACCCAACUCGCAAAGAGAACCACUUCUCACAUGCAUGCAAAAACCCAGAACACCCUACUACAUAGAGUGAAAAUUUUAUGAUACAUAAGGCAUGCAUUUUAAGUGUUCUAAAAUUCACAUAAAUUCUAUUUAAUAUGAAUAUGCAAUCAAAUUGAUGUUACGACAAGUAUAGAAUACAUAGGGGUCAUUUCUCCCCGAUUUCAUGAAGUCAAACCCACCACAACUCUUGCAACUCUUCGUAAGCUCCGACGAAGAUACCCACUAGUCUCCUAGCACCCUAAAGAUGUAGAAACAAGAGUCGAACGAACCUUACGAACAAUACAGGGCUCAAUCAUUAACCAUCUCAAGCUAAGGUGGAGAAAAACUCACCAAUUGUGAAGGAAGCUCUCUCGAUCUCCAAAUGGGAGUUAGAGUCCUUCAAAUCUAACCUAAACAACGGUUCUAAGCCAAUCAAUUGGGUCUCAAAGCCCUCAAAUCGAAAAUCCCCAAAAUAAAUCCUAAAUCUCAAAAUCUAGGGUUUCAUCUAGUUUAAAGCUCCAAAACUAGAAUCUGGAGGAAGAAACUAACCACUUAGCUCUAGAAUGCUCCAAACCAAGCUCAAAAUCCUCAAGGGUUGAAGAUUGAUCUUCCACAAAGCUCCAACCACAAGCUCUAAGCCACCAAAGGUGAGAAACGAGGGAGAGGGAGAUGCUUGCUCUCCUUCUACUCUUUCUUCUUCUUCUCCUUCUUCUUCUCUUUCUAGAGAGUGUAGAGAGAGUGUGAGGGAGAGAAAUGAUGGUGAGAGGGAGAGCAAAUGGCCCUAAAAGCCCUCUAAAGCAACAAAAUCCACUUAGGUCCCUCAAAAAUCCAACCUGUGCACUGCCCGGGUCUGGGCUGUUUUCGCCCAGAGGGACCGGUCCUCCCAACUGGGACCGGUCCCUCAGGACCCUCCUGCAGAACAAGCUCUCGGGAACCGGCCUCUUCCUGCCAGGGACCGGUUGCCUCAAGUCCUGCCGCAACACUAUUCUGGGGAUCUCCCACCAGGGACCGAUCCCCGAGAGUGAAAACUCUCAAGACUUAGCCAAAAUCCAGAAUUUCGAACUUUUAGGUCGAAAUACCGUCUACGGCCUUCCACCAAGUGUGGAAAAGCUUGGAAUCCAUAUCAAACAUUCGAACCUUGCAAUUUGCACAAGUCCAGUGUGUUACAUUCUCACACCCACUUGUGGAUCUUUUGCAGAGCCUUCAGUUGCUGCUGCUGCUGCUACUGAUACUGAUCGUGGGAAGGGUGUUGCGAGUUAGAGCCCUUCCUGACGAGUUACAGAGCUAGAGGAGUACCAGCUACAGAUAGUUGUAGUUUUUUGGUCCUUAUACAUACUGAUGUUGUAACUUGCUGAAGCGAGUGUUUUUGUAUCUGGAUACUAUAUAUGUAUGUUAAACCAAUGUUAUAUAUGUGUUUUUCUUUUUAGCAGCUCUAUAUUACUAGUUGUAGUAUUGUAUGAUUACAGGUACAGGUACAACUAUUGCUUUCUUAUACAUAAAAAAUUUCUAUAUAUACGGCGGGGCGGGUCUGUUAGCGUGCCCGGAAAAACGAGUAAUCCAAGGCAUGACAGAUUAAGUUGGCAUCAGAGCUUAGCAUUUGGUUGUUGGGACCUAGGAACCUUAAGUUUGGCAAACCUUAGGAGGAUAAGACGCGAGAGGCGUGAUUUAUCGCGAAAAUCAAUGAUUGAUUAGUUUUAACUCUUCCUAGAGUGGAGUGAGUGACUGAAGAAGUGUCUGUUUCGGCCAAGAAAAUUUUAGCGGCUGCAGACGACAUAAUUUUAAGGAGAAACAGGGCCUUCUAGACUUUCGUUUGAUUGGGUCGAGAGUAUUUGUAUUUUUGUAUCUGACCCUGAUUUCUUUUCAUGCAGCUACGUACCGACGCCGACGUUGACCGCCGACCAGGGAUCGCGCCGCACCUCCUGAGAUGCCUGAAUAGGCAGAGCCGAGUGCACGACCAGAGGCGAGCGCACCCCUUGAUCUGAGGGAUCAGUUGGCUGCCCUAACUGAGGUGACGAGGCAGCAGGGGGCGUUGUUGUAGAGGAUAUGCGAGACAUUUGUUCCGUCGCCGAGCGCAGUACCGAGAGCAUCAGAGUAGGCAACUCCACGCCCGACUACUCCAGUUACAACACCAGCCGCAGCUGUAUCUCCACCAGUGGCAGUUCCCAUAGCGCCAGUUGCAUCUUCUGGAGAGGCGUUACAAAUAACUAAGGCUGAGCAGGAGCGGAUGACCGAGAGGCUGGCUCGUUUUCACUGUUUUGAUCCGCCGACCUAUGACGGCAGCUGCACGGAGCCCUGAGUUGUAGAGGGCUGGGUCAGCGCGAUGGAGAAGUUAUUUGAGGAUUUGUUUAUUCCUGAGUGGGAGUAGGUACACUUGGGAGUUCACUGCUUUGCCGACAAUGCACAUACUUUGUGGAGGAGGAUGAGAAUAGACCGAGGGUUAGUGGCAUUGCAGAUGAGAUAGGAUGAGUUCUGUGGAAUGCUGUAUGGGAUAUAUUUUCCCAACAGUGUGAAGCAGAAGCUCGAGGAGGACCUGAAGAGGCUUCAGCAGGGGGAGCGAUCAGCUCAGGAGUACAUCCGUGAGUUUACUCGACUCCUGAACUGUGUUCCAUUUGUAGCCAGAGAUUAGGCACGCAGGGUGUAUCUUUUUUAGCGAUGAUUGAGAUCAAAGAUUUUCAGGUUUAUACAGGCGCAGAGGUUGAGAACCUUGGACGCGUCUAUGGAGCAGGUUUUGUGGGUAGAGAGAGGUGAUGCAUCUAUUCGGGAGCAGACCCAGAGACCGGUGUAGAGUCAGGACAGGAAGCGCCCCUUUUCAGAUGACGGAGGAUAGUCGAGCAGCAGACGUUCACCGAGGCCUCCACGAUCACGUUCUCAGAGUCGUGGGUCUUCAGGGCGUCAGCGUCCAGAGGAUCUCGUCAGUAGGGGCAGUCACAGAGGACUCCACAGUGUGUUAUUUGUGGGGGCCACAUUGGCCCCGACAGUGUAAGCAGAGAGAGGGCCGCUGUUUUACUUGUGGUCAGUCAGGACAUAUAAGAUCAGCUUGUCCCCGAGCAACAUCACCUGUACCAUCGACAGCGUAAGCGCAGCCAGCACCUCAGCAGUCUGAAUUGGAGCAGCAUCACCAGCAUAUUUAGUAGCUUGAUUUGUUUAUUUACUGUGUUCCUAAAUCUGAAUUUGAACUUAGAAUAUUAGUUAAAUUAUAUAUGUUAGACUUAAAAUUGACUUAGGAGAAAACUAGCGAUUUUAUACCGUCAUUUGCUAAAACUACCAGAUUUAGCUCUAGGAGUCCUAAUUUGUUUAUAUCGCCGGAGUUUGUGGACGGUGGAUACUCUGAUUAGUAUAGAAUGCAUUUACGCUCGUGUUAGGAUGUCGAGCUUAUUUUUACAGCAGUAUUUAGACUGUUAUGACCUGUCAGGUGCCAUUGAGGUUGACGAUGGAUCCAGAUUGCUAUUUUUACAUCAGAUUGUGCCGAUGGCAAGUGAGUUUAGUUGUUAGACCCUGUUUUUCUGGAUUAUAACCUGUGAGAGCCUGAUUGAGUUCGGCAGAGAUACGCUUGCAUACUCGGUUAGGUAGCGCCCACGAGUGCCACUCCGGAGUCGGGCUUAGUGCGUUUGCGUUGGUGUCGUUGUGUCCUGGUUGGACUCGCUCUCCACUGACUACCCAGAGUGGUGGUUGUUAGUGUAGCUUCGAUAGGCGGGACGAGUGUAUUCACAGUCCCUAGUGAGAUUCGGUCAGAGAUUGCAUUGUUUUACAGAUAGUUAGUGUUGGAUCAUGAUAGUAUAGUGGCAUAUACCUGUAAAUUGUUUUCAGUUUCUUUACUAUCAUUGAAUAUACCUUCUGUAGACUUAGUGAGUGAGCCGUUGAGAUCAGUAGUGGCACCCACUGAGGACUACUUCUUUUUGCAGUAGUUCUCACACCUAGUUGUGGAUCUUUUGCAGAGCCUUCGGUUGCGGCUGCUGCUACUACUGAUACUGAUCGUGAAAAGGGUGUUGCAAGUUAGAGCCCUUCCUGACGAGUUACAGAGCUAGAGGAGUACCAGCUACAGGUAGUUGUAGUUUUUGGGUUCUUAUACAUACUGAUGUUGUAACUCGUUGGAGCGAGUGUUUUUGUAUCUGGAUACUAUGUAUAUACCAAUGUUAUAUAUAUGUUUUCUUUUUAGCAGCUCUAUACUACUGGUUGUCGUAUUGUAUGAUUACAAAUAUAGAUACAGCUAUCGCUUCGUAUACAAGUAAAAUUUCUAUGUAUACGGCGGGUCUGUUAGCGUGCCCGGAAAAAUGAGUAAUCCGGAACGUGACAGUUUACAUCAAACUAUAAAAUUUAAAUUAAAUUUUAAUUUAAUUUAAAAUUUGUAAAUUAGAUUUGAAAUGCUUGAUUGAAUUUUAAUUUUUAAUUCAAGUUCAGAUUAAAAUUUAAAAUUAUAAAUUUAAUUUCUAAAUUUAAACUUUUAUAUUUUAAAUAAAAAAUAAGGUUAAAAAAUUAAAUUUAAUUUGAGCAAAGAUCCACCACUCCAUCCGGAUUCAACUUUCAAAUCGGCAUACUAGGCCGGAAUGGAAAAGGGGGUGCUUGGGGGAUUCCUAAUCUACUCGGGAAUCAGAAUUAGAAUAGUACUCCUGCGGAACAAACAUGUACAAAUGGAAUCGUGCAUUCUGAUUUCGUUUCCUCGGUGAAAAAUGGGCGAACCAAACACGCCUCCUGAUGAUACAUUGUAUUUUAAUUCUAUACUUUCAAGAAAAAAAUUGGAGGAAGCUAAAAGCGAUGGUGAAUAAUUACCUGCAUAUAUUAUGUGAUCGCCGCAUAUUACGUGGCGAUCCAUUUAUUGUAUUGUUUAAUAUUCUGCACUAUUCUUCGACUUAGACUUAGCAAAAUUUAAGACUUAACAAAAUUUAUGAAAAUGUGGCAGUAGAAGCUUAAAGAAAGUGAAUGAAUUACCGUAUUUAAAAAAAGUAAAUUAUUUAUUACUUGUAGGAGAUUAUGUAAAUUUUAUAAUGAAAAACAACACACUUNUUUUUUUUUUUUUUUUUUUUUUUUUUUUGUGGUUUACCGUUUUUGUGUUUUAUGCUACCUCACGCAUGACAGAAAUAUAUUUACUUUUUGCAAUAAAAAUUUUAGAUGCCUAUAUUUGUAAUUAAAAACCUUUGUAGGCUUAGAAACCCUUGAGACGAACCAGGAGUGUAGUGUGACGGACCUGGACCUGGAGCCUUGCGAGGCGGAUAAGGUAAUGAAUUCUUGGUCUCCCAUGUCAUUACGGACAAUCUUGGUCAUCUGCCCUUCAUCUAGGCACUUUUAGGCUGAUUUAGACUCAGAUGAUAACCUAUUCAAUGUAAAAUUUUAUUUAUUUUAUUCUUAAAAAUUGACUUCAAAACUGUACCCGCUUCUCCUAUCCGGAUCUAAACAUUUGAUCUCAAUCCUGACUUACAAUUACAAUAAAACACUCUCGUACCAAAUAAAAUUUUACCGAGUAACUUAUUCCAGCAUCCAAUCCCUUAAUAAAGCUUGUUAUUUUGAGAGUUUAAUAAUCAUAUUCUGUAGAAACUGACUAUCAAAAGAAAUGAUUGAUGAGGAUAUAAACUAACCAGCGGUGCACAAGCGACCGCAGAGCAGGAUGCCGAAGCAUGCAGAGCACCUCGUCUCACCACUUGAAUGAAACUUAAAAACAUAACUCCAUUUGCUUUUGAAAAGCCUACAUACGCAAAUUAUUCUACCUGCAAAAAGUAUUACAUCAGAAAUAAAACACCCGAAAGCACUACUUGCGCCCAAAACUUUUUCCUCCAAUCCUAUUUUUAGGCAGAAACAAAGAACACCCCCCUCCCCCCAAUCCAAUUAUUUUCUUCAUUCACUGCUUGGCCACAAAGGAUUUUAUAAUUCUAACAAUAACAAGGUGAUAGGAAUAAAGAGGACGGUCAUUCAGCUGCUAAAGAAUUACAAUAUGAGCUUAUGGUACACGAACUGAUGACGAUCUAAAAGGUCUAGUCAAAGUUAUUAAGUUGGUGAAAAAGCAUUAACACAUGGCUUGUUGCUACAUAGAAAAUCAAGUAAAGCAUACCCAACAGCUCUCUCUCAUAGGCAGCACCCUCAGUGGGUGCAGACAAAUGUCCAUUUAGCAGAGUAUGUUACAAGAAAGCCAUUUCAAAAAGAAAAGAAAAUCUUCGUUUAGCUUCCGCUCAGAAACUUUGCCUCGUAGUAUUGUGGAGACUGCGAAAAAAGAGUAAAGGUAAAAACUCAUUCAGAAAACUAGUACUGCAGCAGCAAAUAUCAGACAGUAAAAAUGCUAGAAUAGCUUUUACCAGAUAACUUGCUGUGAUCAUCUUUCCAGCAAACCACCUCCCAUGGAGCGCCCGCUGUGCAUUCAUGGCCGAGGAUGCACUAUCAAACCGUAGAUAAACAAAGCCAGCACUGUUUCUGCUCUCCACAUUAAAAAGAACAUGGUGAAACAAAACAGUCUACAGUAGGGUGCAGGGAAAAAAAAAAUCACUACUAAUUCUCGGCAAAGGACAUAUAUUUCCUUUAAACUACCCUAGUUCAUCAACAGAAAAGUUAUUGGAGUACCCAAAGAAAGGGGGUAAGAAGAGUCUGACUAGAGCGUGGUACAGUUUAGCCUACGGCAAAGAAACAUUGGAUUUUCUUUGUGAUUCUGCGUCUAUAUAAGACCAUACACGCUUGCAUUAAGUUUCUUAGCUACUUGUUUGCAAAUAUUUGUUCAAUUUCAUAAGAUUAAAUCAGCCACCUGUAGCAUAAUAUCAUAUACAAAUAACAAAACUUGCCUCCCGUCUAGCCCUUAGCUAUCAUAGACAAACCAAAUUGAAGGACCAAAGGAUUAUCUACAGGGUUCAAUCCUCUAAAUUCAAAUUCACAAAAAAAGAUCCAGCAAGACAACCUUCCCCUUGCGCCUAAAAGGUCACUAGAACAUAACGAAAUCCAAGUAUAUUUCAUUCCAUAUCUGCCGGGCGGUCAUCAUUGCCAUUUCUUGUUAUCAUUAGAAGGAUUUGGAGAGAUUCCAAGGCCAAUUCUAGUUUUAUCUAGUACUCUAUUUACAAAUAAGGGAACCCACGUGUCAUAAAAAGGGAUUUGCAUUUCUUGUAUGUCUUAACAUCUAAAACAAUAAAAAAGAAGCUGAAUAAGGACAUAAUUCUCAUUUUGUAAUAUAAUGAGACCGAAUGCCAACGUGAUUCUAGCCAGCUAGUGAGGCAUGUAUCAUGAUGAACAUGUACAGAGCAGGGUAACACAGGAACAUACGUGGUAGCUCAAACCUUGAAAAUGACUCCAAGGUUACAUCUUACUUUUCUAAUAAAUGAAAGCGCUUAGGCAGCAAACAGGAAUACUAGAAUAAGUUGAUGAAGAAAUUAUAAACUCAGAAAAGGAACUACUGUUUUCAAACACAAAAGACUUUGUAAGGACAGAGCACCGCUUAAAAUAAAGUAUGAGGUAAAUAAAGGGAUAGGAAUGAAAACCAAUCCCACAAUCUCAAAAUAAUAGUACCGAAUAUUUUCUUAUUUUUGUUCCAGAUAUAUAAGAUGUCAAAACAGGACGAGAUACUGUAAAAGAGUCUCAAACUCAAUAUACCUUACACUUUGUGUGCAACAUGUGAUGAAAUUUAACGAAGAUAGAGCAAGGGAGCUAGAAAGCACCUAAAAUAACAGUUAUGACCAAAAACACUUGGCAUCAGAAUACAAAAUACAGCUUGAGGUACAAAGUAAGAGAAGCAAGAUCUUUUUAGGUUAAAACAAGGCUUUAUCCUGAUGUCAUCUUAUUGUAAAUGACACUGAAAGAAGCUAGAGAAGUGCAGUUGUACUCAGCUAGAGAAGUGCAGUUGUACUUUCAAGUUAAUGCUUAUAAAAAAGUUGAGUUCCGCAGAAAAACAGAGAGAAUAAUAUAUGGCUAUAACCGGAAACAAGCAUAACCAACUGAUGUUUAAUCUUUGCAGUAUUAGCAAAUCAUCUAGAAGAAAUUGAACACAUAAAGAAGCAACUCUGACUUACUUGUCCACAAAAAUGUGCUUCACUGUGCCAAAUUUGGAACAUUCCUCUGAAACAUCAUCUUUAAUAUCUAAAUCAAAAUCAGGUUCCGUCUGCAAAGAAAAGUGUGCAUAGAAACCUUCAGUUCAGAAAAGCAGAUUUAGACACAUAAAACGCAGAGAUAAGAGCUUUAAAACCAACCAACCUCCACACUUGGAUCGAACAUAUUCUUCAGCAACAAGCAUUCACUAGGAACAGCAGACUCGACAGAAGGCAUGCUAAGGCUUGGAACUGGAAGAAGACCUGAAGCAGGUACUCCUCCAAUAGGAGGCACAGUGGUUGGUAGAAAUGGAUUAGCCAGUGGAGGAGCACCAAGAACUGAUGCAGCAGGCAGAGGAAGCGCAGCAGUAUUGGCCGCAGGAGCAACAAGCCCACUAGUCAUGCUGCAGAUAAAGCAACAAUGUAAAAAAGCAUGACCUCAAAACUGGUGUUUGCAAGAGAAAAGAAAAGGGUAAAAUAUGUACUAUAAAUAUAUAAACUAUCCCAAUAACAAGAAUGGGACCUCGAACUUUUCACUUGAACAAUGUUAAUCCCUGAAUAUCCAUAUAUAUUGCACUUUGGUCCCAGACCAUCACAAAGAAAUCUAAUAUAUAUUGCACUUAUUCUGGUUUACUUCAAACAGCUUUAGAAUGCCAUGCUCCAAUAAACUUGCAUUUUCUGAGGAUCAAAGAGACAAAGACAAAACUGCAAUACAUGUGAAAGUCUAAAGAUUAAAGUGUUCAAGUAGAGAAACCAAGUUGUUAUAUCAGAAUAGUAAAGGGGCUAUCAAUAUAUUUUACCCUCCAAAGGAGAGAGAGAGAGAGAGAGAGAGAGAGAGCCCCUUUGUUAAAAUCCUUGCAUUCAAUAACUAUAACAAAUUGCCCAAGUUUUUCCAAAAGAAUACAAUGUUAAAAUAUAUAUGCAAGGAUCUAUAGCACCAAACCUAGUUGUAGUGCCGCUCCGGUCCAACUUCUGCAUGAGCAGAGCCCUAGAGCUAGCGUUUAGUGCCUGCAAGCAAAAUUCAUAAACCAUACAACAGGAAUUGUAGGAAAGAAUGAGCAAAUCAUACUAUAUGAUGGAUCUGGCAGAUCUCACAGACACAUUUUGAAUGAUUCUUGAGCUAGCUAUUUCAUAGUUUCUUUGUCUAGGAUUUUAGAGUCAUUAGAAAUUUGCAGGACUAAAGCUCCAUAAUAUCACAAACUAUAAUCAGGUUAAGUUUUAGCUUUAUAAUUUGGAGCUAACUUGGUCAGUACGUUGCACUGACAUGGAUAUGCAAUUCAGAUAUGACAAGAUGCAGAUAUGGCAAUAUGGUGAAUUUCUGGAGAAUGCGGUAUUAUAUUUUAUAUAAAACAAAAUAUAUUGAAAAUACGUUAGAUUAUUAUAUAAC